rnacentral:lncRNA from 1 species
UCGUACAGCGAUCUGAUACCAAGCCCGCCAUGUGCAGUUUAUCGUAAUUGAAUGCGUAAAUAUAACUGCAAUCUUGUUAACGAAUGCUGCAAAUUCAUUGAGCAAUGUAUAGCAAGCGUCUGUGGAUCUUACAUCUAUGUAAGUUGCAACAUAGAACAGCGAACAAAUUCAGUACAUGAGGGCACAGGCAUUAGGAGAACAUCAAUGCACUACACGCAUGUAUUGAUGUUGCACUAUACAAUGCACCGAACGAAUGCAAUACAAUCGUAACAUGCUACAUAUCGCAAGCUCAUUUCGCACUUGAAUUCUACGAAGCAAAGCGAACAAUAAUAAUGAAAAAAAAAAAAAAAACUGAUCCUAGACAAUAUUUUGUUUCGAAUCCAUUUCAUUUUCCGUUAUUUUCACACUUUGUCAUCGGCUCAGACGCUUCCACGCCUCCGGCAUCACCGGGAUCGGCCAGUCGGUGAGCCAGAAGAUAGAAAAAUAAAAUAGAUCGUCACAAAAUACUGUCCUGAAUCGCUUUAGUAUACGGGCACUCCCAAGUGAAGAACUCCGAAGUCUGGCCAGACUGUGCAACCAGACUUCAGGAUCCGUUCGCUUCACUUGAAAGAGCUCGCACCAAAGCAUUGAAAAUUAGCAAAUGCUGUGUACAACCGUUCACAUGUUACGUGGUCUACCGAGUAUGGUCAGUGGAACAACAUGAAAGAAGCCGGGCCGUCGCGCCCUGCAGAAGGAGCAGAAGUCAGCUUUCAAGGUCUUAGCAUGCCUUGAUUCGAGCAACCACGACCGGGAGGGUCGCACGGCAGCGCGCGAGAGACUGAGAGAGAGAGAGGAAGAGAGAGGGAGGAAACGAUGGUCUAGAGCAGAAGAGAACAAAGAAAAAAGAUGGCGGAAGACCUUCGGGCAUGCCCACUGGCCACGCUGUGCGGCGGUGCCGUGUUCAGGGGAGAUCUCUUUUACUCGCGCCCUCCUCUCUGCAUCUCGCGCCAACCUGCCACAAAUUUAUCAUUACAUCUAAUGGGGAUCUUCCCGAGCGGAUCGUCUUCUGUGGCGGCGCCGCUCUCAGAUACGUCAGUCCAAGACGUCACACCCGGAGACAUGGCGCCGGCGGGAUGGCAACGGCGCCGAUUGGUCGCCCCAGAUACUGCCACGUGUGUAUUCCCCUGCGAGCCACAGCCGGGGCACUUCUUUCUUUUUUUGUUUGCCGCAUGCCUUCAUCCAUUCUCUCUCUCGAUCCUAAGAACAAGCCAGGAGACUUAAGAUCGUUGCUUUACUGUGCAAGAAGCGAGUACUGCAGCUAGAUUCGAAUCGGUUUCGGUAAAUGCGG